rnacentral:lncRNA from 1 species
CUCGGCUGUGUCUGGAGGUCUCUGAGAGCGGUCUGCGCAUUUCCGGACCCCAGACUGGACUCGUGCCAAGCCUCGUUGGAGCCCCACACUCCGCAGGGGGCUUAGCGCGGUGUACCCAGUGACAGCCUCGGCCUCGGUCCCUGAACUCCGCUGGCACGGCCCGACUUCCCGUGGCCGAGGAGGGACUGCUGAGGAAAGGCCCCCCUCCUGUCCGACCCUCCGUCACUCCUUCGGAUCCCACAUCGCAGCCAACGGUAGGCUCUGAGCUAUGAGGGCAAGGAAGGAAGGAUGUGAAAUGAUUGGUAUUUCAUGGAUCUACGGUGUCAGUCUUCAUCUGACAAACAUUUGUUGAGUGUCUGGGUCAGGCACUGGGGAAGCGACGGGUGGCA